AAUAAAUACAGUUUUGCACUGUUUAUGUCUAACGUUUGGCCAUUCGUCAUAUUUAAAAAUUUAUUAUGCUUACUAUUUUUGUUGUUAUUAGGUGAUAAAAUAUGAAUAAUACUUUAUGUGUGACUAAUUCUUUUUAAUUUUUUUUAUAAUUUUUUCAAAUAAAAUAAACGGUUGAUACGGAUACCGACGGCUGCACUUAUU
rnacentral:pre_miRNA from 1 species